rnacentral:rRNA from 1 species
CCUACGGGUGGCAGCAGUAGGGAAUAUUGCUCAAUGGGGGAAACCCUGAAGCAGCAAAGCCGCGUGGGGGAUGAAGGUUUUCUGAUUGUAAACUCCUUUUGUUAAGGAAGAUAAUGACGGUAUGUGACGAAUAAUCACCGGCUACCUCCGUGACAGCAGCCGCGGUCAUCCGGCGGGUGCAAGCGUUACUCGGAAUCACUGGGCGUAAAGCGCGCGUAGGCGGGAUAGCAAGUCAGAUGUGAAAUCCUAUGGCUUAACCAUAGAACUGCAUUUGAAACUGUUAUUCUAGAGUAUGGGAGAGGUAGGUGGAAUUCUUGGUGUAGGGGUAAAAUCCGUAGAGAUCAAGAGGAAUACUCAUUGCGAAGGCGACCUGCCAGAACAUAACUGACGCUGAUGCGCGAAAGCGUGGGGAGCAAACAGGAUUAGAUACCCCGGUAGUC